CCUUCACAUGAUCAUGCUCUUCGUGACAUAUCGGUCUCAAAUAUGACUUCUUUCUUUUCCAAACCUUGCCAUAGGCUGGCGUAAUUGCCAUAUCUGUAGCAUCUGGCACAACGAUCAUUGCCUCCAGCAGAAAACGCAAUUUAUGUUGGUGAGCUUCCUUACGCUUUGGGCAACUUUCAGACCCGGAUUCGCCGUCAUAAGGAUGAUUUGACGAUAUGCUCAACCAGUGAUAGCAAAAUUAGAUAUCCUAUACGGUAGAAUCCUUAUCUGGGAUGGUUUGAGGGUUCCCCCUAUAGCAGUGACGAAUGGGUCCUCGAUCCCAGGCGGGAAUAGGAAGCGAGGGUAUGAUCUCUUCAUCAAAGGGAGAAAUGGUGGGAUCACUGCAAGUGCGAAACGAUUUUUCCCGCUGGCCACUACGUUCCAUUAGGUGUGCGACUCAACAGGAGCCAUGUCGUUGAGGGUAAAUUCGCCGUUGGGUUUGCAAGCGAGCGCUAUUGUACAUACAAACAUGAGAAGGCCAAAAAGACAUGCCAAGAAGAUGUUAUGCUCUGUAUGGCCUUUAAAAUAAAUAUUAUAUAUCCGGAUAUAUUCUAAAUAAUUAUAUUCGGCUGUAUAUAGCAGUGCAAACACUAGAGAAUAACAA
rnacentral:sRNA from 2 species